GUGUGUGCUGAAUAAAGACUAUUCUUUCUUCAACCACAGCUCCAAGGACCUUUUUCCUGUUACCUAGCUGUAGACCUGCGUGUAACGAAAGCUGCUGUAUGGAGUAGUGAUUCUCAAAUUGACGUCCACUGACCCCCAGCAUUUCACCAAGAUACUGAAAUAUUUUUAACACGAUCUACAGAUCCCAAGAGGUCCUGCAGCUACUACUUUUGCUCUCUUGGAAAGAUGCUGCUGUGUGAAUAAGUGUGAGCUAGCCUGGUGGAGAGACCACAUGGAGGAGGACCAAGGUGUGCCAGCCAGUAGCCUGCCAACCAUCAUCCAUCCUAUACCAUCCAGCCCCAUCGAAGCUGUCAACUGACUGCAGCUAAAUAAUGCCAUUUACAUCUCCUUCAGAAAACCUUCCCCAGGCUGAAGAAUCAGAAAAUUUCAUUAAGCGGCCUGAGGCCUGUACCAGAUGCAGCUGUCCCAGAAUCAUGAACCAAAU